CAGAGAGCGUGCGUUUGUCGACAGUCGUCAUUCAUUUGUAGGAACGUUUGCUAACAUAUUUGGAUAAUUGUUCCGGAUUUUACAAAAUUCAGCCGCUUCCUAGUACUUGACGAAGGCAAGCUGAAAAUUACGCCGAACGUCCGGAUUCCGCCAAGCAAGAUCAUGACGUCCUGCUUGCGGUCAUUCCGUGACCCGUGCAAAUUCAAGCCGUGACCCGUGCAAGAAAUAAGUAAGUGCCGAAUGUCGUAUCCGGGAAAGACGUAUGCAGCCCGGUGCCCCGCUUUCAGUCGUUCCGUGAAUCAUGCAAGUUAAGGCUGCGCGAGCAUUUGUUCAUCGCUGUCAAUGGAAUAAUGCUCUUCGGAUGAAUAGAGAAAGCGCGCACAGAUUGGGAAUAUUUUGCCGGUUGUCUGAUCCGGGAAGGUACCAUUGUAUGCAACUCGGUGCUCUGUUUGCGCUCGUAUCGUUUCCCAUACAAGAUCAAGCAGCGCAAACAUCUGAUCAUUACCGCUAUGGAAUAGUGUUCACCGGACUGCAGAAAGCGCGCCCGAUUGCCAACAUUCUGACCAUUUCUGAUCCGCGAAGGUACCAUCGUGUGCAACCUGAAAAAAAAGGCCGCUGGCCGUAGAGAGCUGGCCCGUACGUCGGGUAAAUAUGCCCCUGUCAUUGGUUGGUUAUAACUGUUUCAUGUGCUGACCGUAUCGUGAGGCAAACUUGCAGACCAAUCAGUAUUGCUGCUAUGAACCUCGUUGAUCAUUACCCAAGGUGAUUAAGGAAAAUCGGUGGAGCCUCUAUCGCCAAGCGAGGACCUUCAAAUUUGGUCUUGUUUACUGGCCGUUGUACUGGUCGCCUGCGAUGUGGCUAGAGAUUAAGAAGUAAGGCGUUAUCCGCAGAUGGCGGGUUGCAUCUUAGGUUGCUGUUGCAAAUACCAAAAAGCGUAAGAAUCGAUUUCCUGCUGUCACGUCCAUUACCCGUUGUUAAUGGUAAUCCAAAAGGAUGAGGGUGCGUGAAGAAUUUGGAAGUGGCCCCUUCUUCGAUCCAAUUACACGUCGCCAAUGGAUUUCGUCGCAGAGAUUCGCGAAAAUAUACCUAUACCUACCUAAAAUAUAAAACUUAUUUACAAGACAGUUUUUGAUUCCGGUGCCGUUCAGAUUGUUCCGUUCUUAUUGCGGGGUGAAUUAAUGUCUGAAGCAUUGCCUGCGUCCAACUUGCUAUCGAGAACAGAUAUUGUUUCAGUGGAAUUUUCUUCAACUUCAAGGAAUAUGAUUCUGGAAAGUAGAUUGUUUCAAAAUCUGGAGGCGUUGAGUGUUACCAGCAGAAAUCUCGUUAGAAAGAAGCGGACGUCAGGAUUACGAUGGUGCCGACGAGUGAAAAUAGCAGCGGACAGUCAAGGCAAAGUAAGUGAGAAAUCCGAAUCAAAGCGAAUCAAGCAGAAUGCAGCAAAUCAUGGUAGCCUACUAAGGAAGAACCGUUUUUGCAUGAAUGAUUUAAGACCCACCAAUAAGUAUACAGGGGAGUAUGCAGCAGGAAGUCUUAGAGCGACAUGACGAUCGUGGAGAGGGGAAAAUGCCGACAAAUUCUGUCGAUGUUGACUUGGGUUCUGUUUGAGAACCUUCAAGUCGUCAAAGCCAAAAAAAACCCUGCAUGCCCGGCCGGCUCAAAAAUCAACUGUGUUUGCCGAAAAUGAAACCCAGACAAGUUGCUUCUGGUCACGCUAAAGAAGGUCAUCUAAUUUCAAGGCAAGGAACAUACAUUCCUGGAGAUUGAAAUGCACGGUAUAAGCUGGACAUGGUUGUAGUUGCUUUGUGUGCAGUUUUGCGACCGCUUUGGCAAGGAAACGAUUAUGUGGAUUUGGACAAUGGUGUUCUAACGCACAUGGAUGGGAUCAACAGGGCCACGGUGUUCGUGACUGGCACGUUCAGCCGUCAUCGAUUUAAACUUGCUGUCGUCGCCUGUCAAAAUGCACGCAAACGAUUCCAUUCUGCUCAACUCUCAAGUACCUAGGUGCGGAUUUCGUUAGGUUGAUGACCCAACCUUGGUUCUUGUGUCGAUGUAUGCUUUUAUAAUGGUGUGUGAGGAUGAUUCUGAUUGUAAAGCACAGGUUGUACCCAGGUCCAAGAGCGGUUGUCGUUAGUUUGGUAAUUUUAACCUUAGCU